UACGGAGGGGCUAGCGUUGUUCGGAAUUACUGGGCGUAAAGUGCGCGUAGGUGGUGUGUUAAGUCUGCCGGUCAAAUGCCGAGGCUCAACCUCGUUGCACGCCGGGGAUACUGGCACGCUAGAGACAAGUAGAGGCAAGCGGAAUUCCGGGUGUAGCGGUGGAAUGCGUAGAGAUCCGGAAGAACGACCGGAGGCGAAGGCGGCUUGCUGGGCUUGGUCUGACGCUGAGGCGCGAAAGCGUGGGGAGCGAACAGG
rnacentral:rRNA from 1 species